rnacentral:rRNA from 1 species
CGGGACGGGUGAGUAACGCGUGGAUAACCUGCCUCACACUGGGGGAUAACAGUUAGAAAUGACUGCUAAUACCGCAUGAGCGCACAGUACCGCAUGGUACGGUGUGAAAAACUCCGGUGGUGUGAGAUGGAUCCGCGUCUGAUUAGCCAGUUGGCGGGGUAACGGCCCACCAAAGCGACGAUCAGUAGCCGACCUGAGGGGGUGACCGGCCACAUUGGGACUGAGACACGGCCCAA